rnacentral:misc_RNA from 1 species
GAUGAAGAACGUAGCGAAAUGCGAUAAGUAAUGUGAAUUGCAGAAUUCAGUGAAUCAUCGAAUCUUUGAACGCACCUUGCACCCUUUGGCAUUCCGAAGGGUAUGCUCGUUUGAGUGUCAUUGUACUCUCACACUUCCAAUUCUUUGGAUUGGGAGCGGUGGACUUGGGUGUUGCUGCUUUACUGUGGCUCACCUCAAAUGCAUUCGUGCAACUCUUGGUUGGACAUAGUACGGCGUGAUAAGUAUCUUCGCCGGCACCUCGCAAGAGGGUGGCUGAUCAGGAGCUCUGUGCUUUCCAACUGUCUUCAGACAACAACUGACAACUUGACCUCAAAUCGAGUAGGACCACCCGCUGAACUUAAGCAUAUCAAUAAGCGGAGGA